CUUACAGUUAAGUGGUCGCCCGGCCGUCCAUUUUUUUUGGUAACCCGGGAGGAAAGUCUGGGCAGCUAAGCGCCAAAGUGAUAGUUGUUAACAACAACCGUUCGGCCUUCAAUACGAAAGUCGGAUAGGGAAAGUGCCACAGAAAAUAUACAUACUUCUUCUUAAAGGAGCAAUGGUGAAAAGUAUACUUCUCGCGGUGACGCGAAGGAGUUGGUAAACCCUAUCAGCUGCAAGGUGGAGUCGUUAUUUUUCACUGAUUUAAGUGAAGUUAGAGGCGUAUUUUAAAAACGGCUUGAUUAAAUCCGCGAUUUAAGAGCAGUGGAGUGAUUCACUGCCAAGAUAGAUGACCACAGUUAAUUUAUUAACUUACAGAACCCGGCUUAUUUUUAACUUUAAGAAAA
rnacentral:RNase_P_RNA from 1 species